rnacentral:lncRNA from 1 species
GGAGUGGAUGGGGGGGAGCAAAGGGUCCCCACCCACCCCUCUGUCUCUAGUGGAGAUGGGGAGAAGGACAAAGGAGCGCUCUCCUUCCUCCGGUCCCCCUCCUCAAAAGGGCAGCAGCCACCGCGAAGUCAUCGACAAAAGAGAGGAGAACAUCUGCUAGAGGUUGUCCGAUGUUGCCAAGACCACCAGGCCAGGUGCAGAUUUUACUGGGAGAGCUCGUUCCAGGGGAAAGAAGCACGUGGCGGCACCCUUGCAGGGCAAACAUCCCGUCGCCGUCACCUGUUUCUUUGUGCGUCACCAGCUGAGCGUGCAGGAUCCACAGCUGCCUCCAGCCCAAAUCCCCUUCUUGUGUUUGUUUUGCUUCCAAAACGAGUCACCUGUUUUAAGUUGGUCACCUCAGGGCCUGUUUGUUAUAGAAACCAUUAUUUGAACACAAAACAUAUAAGCAAACAUCACUUCUGCUCAUCAUUUUGUAGUUAAUAAAAUCAGUAAAUAUAUUUUAAUGGGGGAAAUAGUUAAUAAAUUAUCUAACUAUCUGAGAAAGAGUUUUUGCAGUAAUUUUCAGGGUGCACUUGUUAGCAGUUAACUAACAUUAAAUACAUCAUUUUUUUAUUCAAAUUAUUAAUUUGGGAUAAAUAAUGACAGUUCUUAUAUUUUAUAUUUUUUAUCUAAGCAUCUAUUUUACAUCUGAGUUUUAUGGUUACGCUUUUAUGAAUGUAUACAGUCCUGUCUAGUAACUGAUUACAUGUAAUCUGGAUUAAAAAAAGUACUUGUAAUUGGAUUAUACAACGUUUAGAAAUGCACACAAUCAGAUUACAGUUACUUUGUAUGAAUUCUAUGAUUACAUUUUAUUCAGAAAAUGCAAGUAAAUAAUUAAUAAAUUAUUCCAAAAAUCCUCAUACCAUUUCGUUUACUAUAUUUACAUGCAAAUGAUUUUGAAAUCCAUGCUUCUGAAUAUGGAUGAAAAAGCAAUGGUGGAUUUAAAACAAGUUAGGUAAAAAAAGAAAAAGUAAUCUAAAUACAUUGGUUUAAAUGGAUAACCUACAUCAUGUCACUAACUGCAGUUUUCAUAAUGUAAUCUGUAUGUGUGUAUAUAUAUAUAUGUGUGUGUGUGUGUGUGUGUGAUUUACCAUAUAUAGCAUCUAUUUUGCACAUUUUAGUUUUGUUGUUAUGCUUUUAUGAAUAAAUUUGUAUUAUUGCACAAAACAUAUUUCAAAUAAAUAUUUAUACACACACACACCCACACCCACACAGAUAUGAAUGCAUACUUAAUGUAAAAAUAAAUGUAUAGUUUAAAGACUCCUAACCUUUCUUGCUGACUUCCUUUUGGGGAGGUUCAAGCUUUAAUUACGGGGUCAGCUGAGCCCUUCAGAAUGCAUCCAGGUUAGGGGCAGUCCACGGAGUAAUUAGCAAGCUAGUUGGGGAGGGCAGCGGAAAACAAUCGCCCCUGCUGUUUGCUCGAGCUCGCGCCCGUUGAACCGACUUAAUUAACCGUGUAAUAAUGUCGACCUGAGGAGGGCUUUCGUGAAAGGGCUGUCCCGGUUCCCACAAACCCCGGGGCCAGCGCCAAUCUUAGCCCCGUGCUGAAACACCGACGGGGAGAAGAGAAGUGAAGGCUUCCGCCGUUAAUUAGGCGCGCCCUGUUGCCAUGGCCACACACGGCCCAGCAGGCCCGCUGCGCGCGUUCACGCGGAGCACCGAGGGGAGUCAAACUCAGACCGGCCGCUGAUUAGAGUAUUGUUCCCGUGUUUAUCAUCGGGGAUGUUAAUUACUUCGAUGAAUGAUCGUUUUUAAUGAAUGAAUGAAUUUCAAUUGGACUUUGUUUCGCUCAUAUUAGGCUUAAAUGCGUAACAUCGAAGGUGCAGCCCUACAGUUCUGUCAGUAAUUAGAGGACUGGUUUAUAUGCGCACAAGAAACACAAUUAGCUCAGUUAAUUUGGGUGAACAAAACCGGAUACAAUUAGAAGACGUUGUAUUUAAUUUUAUGUUUAAUAAAUAUUUUUACUGUAAAUGUGUCCACUCCAUCUGCUAUCAUGCAAGUCUGCAUGAUUCAAAAACACACUCAAUUCAGACGUGAUGUUGGCUGGAUGAUAAAUGAUCAAAAAAAAAAGAAAAAAGAUUACUUUAAAUUGUAUAUAUAUAUAAAAAAAUCAUUAUCUGAAAUGAUGACAUCAGUUUCUGUCCUCGUGUGAUAGCGUUAUAAUAGUGGCCAUCAAUAUUGUGAGCAAUCGGUAUUUCUAUCUUUCUUUCUUUGCUAAAAUAAACAUUUUACUAAGAAAUCACAACAAACAAAGGUUUCCCGUCUUUCUGUUCAUAUGUAGCACACUGCAUGUCUCUUAGGCUGGAGUGGUUGUCAGGAGCAGAGCGUCCUCCUCUGGCAAUGAAGGAAAACAUUUGACUGAAGAGAGAAACCGGCUGUUAGUUCAAUAGUUUCACAGAUCAAUAACAGGUAAUUAUGCUUUAUAUAAAGCAGCCUGUAGCUCAUGUAGGCCUGUGUCUCUCGCGAGUGCAUAUUCAUUCAGAACACUGUCAACACAGAUUGUUAUUGACAAAGCCAGC